GACGAACGCUGGCGGCGUGCCUAAUACAUGCAAGUAGAACGCUGAAGGAGGAGCUUGCUUCUCUGGAUGAGUUGCGAACGGGUGAGUAACGCGUAGGUAACCUGCCUGGUAGCGGGGGAUAACUAUUGGAAACGAUAGCUAAUACCGCAUAAUAGCAGUUGUUGCAUGACAACUGUUUGAAAGGUGCAAUUGCACCACUACCAGAUGGACCUGCGUUGUAUUAGCUAGUUGGUGGGGUAACGGCUCACCAAGGCGACGAUACAUAGCCGACCUGAGAGGGUGAUCGGCCACACUGGGACUGAGACACGGCCCAGACUCCUACGGGAGGCAGCAGUAGGGAAUCUUCGGCAAUGGACGGAAGUCUGACCGAGCAACGCCGCGUGAGGGAAGAAGGGUGUCGGAUCGUAAAGCUCUGUUGUAAGAGAAGAACGAGUGUGAGAGUGGAAAGUUCACACUGUGACGGUAUCUUACCAGAAAGGGACGGCUAACUACGUG
rnacentral:rRNA from 1 species